rnacentral:lncRNA from 1 species
CUUGGAUAAGUAAAUAAAAGUUAAAACUUAAAUUCAAAUUAAUACAAAUUAAUAGCAAAAACAAUUGAAAUUAAUUCAAAUUGAUACAAAUUAAAACUUAAAUUCAACUAGUUGUUCUAAAAAUAACAUUUCAAGAUUCAUGCUUGUUCUUCCACAUUUUGAUUUUGACCACUUAAUUCCUGAAACAAAUAAAUACAAAUAAAGUCAUCAAUCAAUGACAAAGUGACACUAUUAAUAAAAUUAGAUUAAAAUGAUUUAUACAAAAUCGGGCAGGCCAAAAUGUCAACUAUAUACUAAGAGUUAAAAUGAGGAAUCAUAUUUAGAUAAUUUUUAUAAAAGUAAUACAGAAGAGAUGGAAAUAUAUGAUAAAAUAAUUUAAAUGAUUAAGAGAAGUAGAGAACAAACAAUAUCAUUGUCUGCAAACAUGUCUGCAACAUUAUAAAUAGAGUUUAGAACUAAUCCAUAUUAUGAACAUUAAAAAUAUUUAAAACUUUGCUCAUAAUUGGAGAGACUAAUGAGGCAUAUUGACAUUUUUUAUGCAUGGGAAAACCACUUUGUACUGCUAUGAUUUGGAUUCUCAGGGAAGUGUUAUUAAUAUCUCAAUCAAAAAAUUUUAAAACUGUUCUAAUGCUAAAAUGACCAAAACAUUGUCAUAACUAUGCUAACAAACCUAAAUUUACCAUUAGAAACCAUUCUCAAAAUUAGCUCUAGAAUUAUAAAACCAAAAUCUGAAAAUGCCCCUACACUAGCCUAAAAGUACUGCAGUAAAACAGAACAAUCUACUCUAACUGUUCUUAAUCAUAUGUUUCUCUUAAAGACUAUAACAUAUUAUCUACUCUAACUAUUUAGAUAACUUUUUACAGAAGUUAUACAAAAGAGAAGGAAAUAUAUGAUAAAGACUAAUGAGUUCCAAAACUACAAUGUGUAAACAUACCUUGCGACUGUCAAAUGAUCUUUGUGCAGUUUGGUGUGGAACCUAUAAAGGGGAUAAUUGUAUGAAUGUUAAGGAUCACUUCUUCUGAAAUGCUGUAAGGUAAAGCAUCUGCAUAAUUUUCCAUCCAGUUUUUCGUAAUAUACACAUAAUAGCUGUUUAAGAAUACUUCAAAGCACUCAAUACAAACAACCUUAUUCUAAGUCCAACAUACGUUGACUAAAUAUAUUUUUAGAGAAGCCAUUGCUCUUUGGGAUAAAGAAGUUAUAUUUGACCCCAGUACACCCAAGCCAUUGCUCUUAAUGAAGCUGCACUGUUCUUUUCCAGCUAUUUCACUGAUUCUUUACCUCUAUAUCUGUCUGUGAAUUUAAUUGAGUUGAACAGAAGAGUCUCAUUGCAUGCGCAUCUCAACAAAUGCUAAGUAGCUGGCCUCAUCAAAGUUUGUGGUCCAAAGUACUUAUACGGAUUCAUACACAUUUUUCUUUAGUACGUAUGGUUUCUUUUCUUAAUAAACUUCUUUAUAACAAAAUUUUUGUUUUUUAAUUUAAUAAACUAAUCAAAAUCCAACUAUGAAAANUUAAAAUGCACUUGAAUAAGGUUAAUGGGUGAUUAUAUUCAUAACAGUGGAAUGUUUNUGCUGUUAAUAUGAAACGAGACCCACAUAUUUACUCUAAGAUAUAAUAAAUGUUUAUGCUGUUUUAAAAUGAGUUACUACAUCAAANAUUCUAAAGAGAAAUUCAACUAUGGCAUGACAGGCUCAAUCUUCUUCAACAAGUAAAUCUCUAAUUUAUUGAAUGAGUGACAAACUAUGGCAUACAAGAAGUAAACUUUUAAAUGUUUGUGCUGUUUUAAAUCCUUGGGCAAGAUUGCGAGGCUUAUUUUUCAGCACGCAACUUCAUGUGGGUUUAAGAGUAAUUGGUCUUAUAUGAGGAAAUUUUCAGCUAAUAAACAGUCAAAGAGUUGCCUUGGAGAGGGCUCAAAAAAUGAUAUACAUUGCAGUGAAAGGAGAGACUUUUCUAGUGAGGAAGAGAAGGAUGCAGAGCAAAGGUUAUAAUUUCAGUAAUCAGCAAUAACAAUCGUAGCUCAGAAUUUAAAAUCUCCUUUUGUGCUUCCUUGGAUGCUAAGAGGCCAGCAGCAAACUUGGCAUCAAUUUUCUUCUAUGCGAAACCCCAAACCGAUUCUCUGCUUCUUCUAGCUCUACAAUUGCAGCAUGAAUAUUCCAGGCAUUACGAAACCCCCAAACACACAAAGUAACCUAAACCCCCAAACAAACCAAACACAAAAAUCCAUUUCAUCCCCAAACCCAAAACCCUACCGAAAAAGGGUAAUUAGAAGAGGUAUAGAAGAGCAUUACAUUGUGCGUCCUAAUCGGGAGAAAUUUUUUGAGUAUCUAGAGCUGCAAAAGAGGCACGGUGUUGGAGCUACAAAGAGGCGGAGCUACAAAGAGGCGUGCAGAUGAAAAGAAGCAGAAUACAUAACAACAUCAUAAAACCUAAUUUAAACUAAGGACAAACAUGUAAUUUCAACUUCUGAGCGGGUAACGGGUACCUGCGGGUAUGGAUAAUGUAAAACCCGAACCUGACCCGAUAAGAAGCGGGUAUUAAAAAACCCGCUACCCGCUACCCGUGGGUAAUAGGUACCCGCGCGUACCAACUAUCCACAACGGGUUUAAUCCGCGGAUACCCGCGGGCACAAAUUUUUUUGCCAUCCCUAGUACCAACCCUGCAGACAAAUGAUGUGAGGUGUACUAACCUCGUGAAAAGGGUGUACCAACCCUAUGAAUGAUUUGAGGUGGACCCUUGAAAUUUUGAAAUUUAUAACUUUUGAAUUGUUUUUUUUUGUAAUUUUCGACAGAAAUUUGAUUUUCGAAAAGACAUCAGGGUGUUGAAACCCUUAAUUACAAAGUGUUAAAAUCUUGAUGCUACUCUUUUUGUAUUUUUUAAGAAGAAUUCGAAAACCAUUCAUAGGAGUGAAGAGGGUUUUGAUCCGAAAGAUUUUCUUUUUGAUUGAUUGAUGGCAACUUAUGUUAUGCACAUAUGAAAAAACAUUUGUUUUGUUUUAUGUUUCUCUUUUUUUUUUCGCCUGAGUCAAUUGUCUUACUUGAAAUCAUCAAACUGGUCUUUAUUUUCAAUUUUUUUGAAAGUGAGGAAUGUCAUACAUCCAGAGGUCUAACUUUGAGAUUAUUACAUUUUGACUUUUUCUUCCAAGACAUCAGUGCACACAUGCUUGAAUUUGGGCAAGGGAAAAAUGAGAGAUGUUUAGAAGGGUUCGGAAAGGGAAUGUGAUAGUCAUGUGGGCACAUCAUUCCUCACACUCUCCUCGACGAAGAUGUAAUAUAAGAGUGUCAAGGUGGAACACGAGAUACCCAAAGUGUGCCCUAGCUUGGUGUUAGGGAAAAUGAACAUAAGGUUUGGAUCUGUGAAUAUUAGGGUGAAAAAAUCAAGUGAAACGUGCAAAGCUGCCCCAAUUUGAUUAUGGAUUGAUGAAAAACUCGUGUGAUACUCACAAAGUUGCCCCAUUUUUUUUGUUUGGCAUAGGGUUUUAUUUGAAAGAGGCGGUGGGCAUGAAAAGGAUCGGCUAACAAGGUUGGCCCCAAUUAGUUUGACUUUUUUUUUGCUUUUUUUUUUUUGCUUCUGGCUGGGCUGCAAGGAGAUCCCCUUUUCUUGAGACAUUACCUUUUUCUUUUUCAUUCAUUCAUUUUCAACCUCUUUUUUUUUUUUACGACACAUUGAAAUUCAUUGUGCCUUAUCGUAAAAUUAAGCUUUAUAAAAAUUUGAGCAAUCAUUAUUCAAUCUGCGUGGACUUUAUUAGGCUUGUAAUGUGGCUAGGGGCUAAAAGGUAUUUAAGAAAAGGAUAUAAAGGCCCAAAUGAAUGUUUGUUUGGUUAUAUAUUUUGAAAUAAAGGUUAUCAUCUAAGUAUUGCAUCAAUUUUUUGACUUUUUGAGCACUUUGGUUUUUUCUUGAACUUCGAUUUUCAUUCUUUUUGCUCAACAUCACUUUGUGAUUUUUUUUUUGUUUUUUUUUUUGUGCAUUUUUUGUUCAAUCUUGAUGAAUUCUCUUCGUUUAAUCAUUGAGUACUCUUUAUUUGUAUCAUGAGUUGACUCCUGCCUGAUGACAACCCUUGCUUGGGGAUAAAUUUGAAAAAGAAUUUAUUUUAGGCUCAAACGGGGUGACAAUGGAUAUAAUUUUUGCUUUUUGGAUAAAGAAAGAAGGCCACACAUCAUUUCAAAUUCUGAUUGCUUUAUUUUCCAAAGAUUAAUUCUGCGACUAGACGACCUCAACAUGAUUCGUUUUCUCUUUCUUUCUUUCUUUUUUUGCUUUUUCCUUUCUAGAUUGCCCUUUCACGUUUUCAAUCUAGUGGAAUGCUUCUUCUUGUUUUUUUUUUGUCCCAAUGGAUUCAGGGAUCACCUUACUAACGCAAGCGAGAAAACUUUUGGUUAGGCCAAUCUACCCUUGUGCAAAGGUUUACUUUGUAACUGAGGGUAGCGACAAUUUUUGUUGGGAAAGAUCCUUUGUUUUGGAAAAGUGAAGGGUGAAGGUCUUGAAGCAAGAUGUGCACAAAAGUCUUGAGAAAAAUGUCAAAUUGUUAUUUUUGAUUAAAUAUUUGACCUCGAAAAAGUCUGACACUACAACUUUUGUUUUUGAUUUAUCAUUUUUUUUGAAAAAAAAUGAGUUUUGACGAUUCGCAAGAAAGACAAGUGACUCAAGAUAUGCACAAGAUGCGUGAUUUUAUCAAGCGAAACAUGAAGAAGGUUCGACGCUUAAGAUUCAAGGUCUAGUAUAUGCAAUCUCACAAGGAUGGUUCCUUGAGCCUAAAAAUCAAUGGUCACUAGAGUUAUGGCCCUCUUCACAGCGUCUCCACAACAGUCGAGUAAUCAACUAGAUGCGAAGACACAAAUGAAGAGAACAGACUCUAGCUGAAGUUCUCACGAUAGCCAGACAGGAAGUACAUCCCAGAGUGACACCGCUACACAACUCCUCUAAUUCUAAGUUACACUCAGACCCAGGUAUAGGGCCCCACUCAUGAUAUGCAUAAAGUGUGUGUGAAGGGAGGAUGAAUAUGCAUACCCCGAACCCUCACCUGCAAAACAACCAGAAAAAUCCCAGGCAGAUAUAGACAUGUUUUCUACCCUAGGGUUCAAUAUACAACAAUUCACAUGCAAUCAUUCAAACAUCAACAUAGAUAAAGAAAAGAGGAAGAAAAACAUAAAGAAAAAAAAAACACAUUGAAUUCGUGCAUCUAAUUAAAUGGCUUGACUCUCUAGUGUCCCCAGUGGAGUCGCCAACUGUCGCAACCGGAAUCGCGACGGGACGACGAUUCAAAACGAAAACAAGUUUUGCAAAAUGUUUUGGAGUCGCCACCAUAGUUUAUUCUGAAAAACUACAGAAAAACCAUAAAAUGAUAAAGCACGGUCCACGAAAACCAAAGAUUGGGUUCGGGAGUCAGUUACGUAUAGGGAAGGUAUUAGCACCCUACAACGCCUGCCCGAAGGCAGCACCUUUAAUUAAACACGCGAAUAAAGAUGUGGUUUGCAAAAUGUUUAACUAUCCCAAAAAAGAAAAUUUUAAAGGAACAAAAUAUAUUUUUUUAUUUUUUGUGCCCGACAAGGAUUGACCUUGCUCCUACGUAUUCUCAAAGUGAGAAAUCAGGGUUACGUAGUUCUGGCCGAGAGAAUGUUUGUUGUUUGAAAAUAUUUAUUUCGGUAUUUGAUAAAAACAGAGAAAAGGUUCUUAGCACGAGGACGAUGCGCGCGAUCACACACGUGUUUAAGCCUUUAAGACAAAUUUUAUUUUAUUUUAUAAAUAGGGAAAAAGGUCUUAGCACGAAGACGAUGCGUGCGAUCACACACGUGCUUAAACUUUUAAAACAUUUUUAUUUUAUUUUUAUGAAAGGAGAAAAAGUCUUAGCACGAGGACGAUGCGUGCGAUCACACACGUGCUUAAACCUUUAAAACAUUUUUAUUUUAUUAUUUUUAGAGAAAAGAAGAAAAUGUUUUAGCACAAGGACGAUGCGUGCGAUCACACAUGUGCUUUAACCUUUAAAAUACAUUUUUUAUUAUUUUUACUUUAUAUUAUUUACUUUUUAUUUUUCAAUUUUUGGGAUUUUUGUAAUAUGAAAAUAAUAUUUACCUAUAGAUUAUAAAAAUAGUAACAAUAAUUACGAAAGAAUUUAAUGUGAAAAUAAAAGUGAUAUUUACGGAUUAUUUGAAAUGAAACAAUGUUAUUAUUUACCAUGUUUGUUUGGCAUAAGUAUUUAAAACAAAAAUAUAAAAAUAAAAAAAUAAAAAAAUAAAUAAAAAUACUACUUACGUUUAAAAAAAAACCUAAAUCGAAACAAAUUAAAUUUACAUUGUAGUUAUUAAAUAAUUAAAAAAAAAUUAGCCUAUUAUGUUAUAUAAUCUUAUAAUUUAUAUAAUAAAACACUAAAGAUUUAAAAUUUAUGUACUUAUUUGCAACGAUGAUGUCGGGAAUCCUAAAACAAUCUUUUUAACUUUAUAAUUUUAUCUUCUCUUUUUCGUUUUUUAUGUUUUUUAUUUUUUCAUUGGAUACUUUUGGUAGAGAAGUGACCGUGUGCAAAAGCCAAAUAAAACAAAAAGGAUGAGGUUAUCAUACAGGGUCACGUGCAGUAAAAAGACUAAGAUAGAAAACAAAAGCAUAAAAUAAUAUAAUAACACCCACUUUAAUAAAACUAGAGGCGCAAAGAUAAAAAACCGGGAGUGUGUCUAGACCAAACCCGUAAAGAUUAGGGUGCAGCAAUGCAAUGCAGGGUGGCACGGGAUCUGUUUGGCCCAACUCUUAGGCCUUUUUUUUAUUUCCAAAUCAGAAAGCAUUUAGGGUUCUCUUCUUCUUCCGCGUAGAACCAAGGUUAGGCUGGCUUCAUUGUCCAAGUAGAUCCAUGGUUCCAGACUAGCGCCGCCGCACACCUCCUUGGCCUACCAACAGUCAUUGCCGAUGGUGUUGCCUGCACCAGAAACAUUAUCGUUUUUCGUGAGCCACCGCCGCAGGAACACCAACCCCUCGUCGGACCACCACCGUGAGCAACCACCGCGCCUCCGAAAGUCAACACGAACUCCAAUCGCAUAGCUGCGACGAUCACCACGUGAAUCUCCUCUUUUAUUCUCAAAUGCACUCUAGUCUAUUACACACAUUCUAUUUUGGGUUGGGAUCUCACGUUGAUAAGGUUUUACAUGUUUUCCUUUUUGUUUAAUAAAACUUUAUUUGUUUCUUGGAUUUGUUCCAGUGCCGACAGGAAAUGGAUUCGUUGGGGAACAAAACUUAGUCUCUAUUGUUAUUUAAGUCUGAUGGGAUUUACUGAAAUUACAUUUUGUAUAGCUUUGAUUAACAUAUUAUAUCUCAAAGAACACAACCAUGCAUUACAUUCAUAACCAGACAUGUAACAGAGACAUGAGAUGUAAUAGAGGAGCAUGCAUUCACAUACAACCAAGCUUAGACACGACAACUUACCUCCGCUGCUUUAAAAGAAAGGGUGAAAGAAACUGAUGAAGGCAGAUGGCUCUCCCCUCCUCUGGCCGUGAGGUCCCUUCCUACCAAGUAGUGAUGAUCGGUGAUGGCUUAGAGUCUCCAAUGUUUGGUGAUGGUAAGGUGUUUCUUUCGANNNN